rnacentral:rRNA from 1 species
UACUCGAGUGGCGAACGGGUGAGUAACACGUGGGUGAUCUGCCCUGCACUUCGGGAUAAGCUUGGGAAACUGGGUCUAAUACCGGAUAGGAGCCAUCUUUAGUGUGGUGGUUGGAAAGUUUUUUCGGUGUAGGAUGAGCUCGCGGCCUAUCAGCUUGUUGGUGGGGUAAUGGCCUACCAAGGCGGCGACGGGUAGCCGGCCUGAGAGGGUGUACGGCCACAUUGGGACUGAUAUACGGCCCAG